CAGAAGUAAGGGAGAGAUGCUCUCAUGGCCUUCUGAGCUCAGGACUUGCGUGGUCUUCAUAGUUGUGGUUUCAGCCAUCACUUCUGUCAUACUCUGAGUUGCCCUCCCAGGGUUCCUCCACUGAGAAGGUGGAGUUUGCUACAGCCUCUGCAUGACCCCUAGGUCAAGAGGAGAAGGGACUUGUGUGUCCUGAAGGAGUGAAUGCAGAAGAGCAGAGGACAGGUUUUCUGCUUCAGACUCUCAGAAACCUCACCUCGGCUACCUCCUCACCAACAGCAUGUCUUUCCUUAGAGGAGACAAGCAUCAUAUGAAUACCCAGAUAACUGGAAAUACAGCCAACUUUCUGUGGAUUAUUCUUGUGUCCAGAAGCAGGCCUUCAGGCCUGGGUGGUUCCUCAUAACAAGGGCAGCUCUGCAUACUUCAAAGACACUGUCCCAGCGCCAGCGGGGAGCCCUGUCUCGCUCUGACGUCCUCCACACUGGCCAGAACACCAGGCCCACAGAGUCCUGCUUCUUCUUGAGACUCUUUGUGAGUCCUCUAGGAUCCUGGGAUUUUCAAGGUUUUCUCUGAUCCUCCACACAGAGAAUACGACUUUUCAAUCUCCAUCUCUUGGAGCAGAC
ensembl:lncRNA